rnacentral:tRNA from 3 species
GCGUCCAUGGCUGAAUGGUUAAAGCGCCCAACCUAAAAAAGGGGCAAAUUCGUAGGUUCGAUUCCUGCUGGAUGCA